rnacentral:rRNA from 1 species
CACGUAGGGGGCAAGCGUUGUCCGGAUUUAUUGGGCGUAAAGAGCUCGUAGGCGGUUUGUUGCGUCGGCUGUGAAAUCCCGAGGCUCAACCUCGGGUCUGCAGUCGAUACGAGCAAACUAGAGUGUUGCAGGGGAGACUGGAAUUCCUGGUGUAGCGGUGAAAUGCGCAGAUAUCAGGAGGAACACCGGUGGCGAAGGCGGGUCUCUGGGCAUUAACUGACGCUGAGGAGCGGAAAGCAUGGGGAGCGAACAGG